UACAGAGGGGGCAAGCGUUAUUCGGAAUUAUUGGGCGUAAAGGGCGCGUAGGCGGCCUGGCAAGUGGAUGGUGAAAUCCCUCGGCUUAACCGAGGAACUGCCAUCCAGACUGCUUGGCUUGAGACCGGGAGAGGUGAGUGGAAUUCCCAGUGUAGCGGUGAAAUGCGUAGAUAUCCGGAGGAACACCGGUGGCGAAGGCGGCUUCCUGGACCGACACUGACGCUGAGGCGCGAAAGCCAGGGGAGCAAACGGG
rnacentral:rRNA from 1 species